rnacentral:lncRNA from 10 species
AAAGAACAUUGGAGUCACUCCCUGGCUACACACACUGAGGUGCUCAAAAAGGGCCGGUGUGCCGCAGUGAGUGCCAGUUUGAAUGAAGGAAGCAUGCGUGGCCUGAAGCCUCACCGUGUUCCAGGCGUCCAGUUAAGUGCUCUGCACAUAAUAUCACACAUUGCGCUCCACGAUAAGAACAAAUUCUCACAUGGGAACCGAGCAAAGUGUAAUGGAUGUUCCCAGGAGCUGCCUAUGGGAUUCAAGAAAACUGUAUGAGAGGAGUAACAUUUGGGCUGGAAGCGAAAAUACAAGUAAACAUAUGUCAAAUGGGGUCUGGAAAGCAAUCCUCCACAGAAAGAAAGCAGAAUCUUCUGGGCAUUUCUGAGCAAGUGGACUUCCUUCAGCUGAGCACAGUCCUCAGGAGAAGCGGACAGGUGCAAAGUGUUGGAAGCCAACACUCACAGCAGUUGGGGGUUGGAGUGCUCUGGCUUCCAACAGCAUUGAAACCAACAGCAUUGACUACAGCGAGUUUCUCAAUCUUCAGAACACAUCCCAGCCUCCCUGGGGGCUGCUAAUGCACAGAUUGCCGUUUCCCACUCCAAGAGUUUCUGAUUCCAGAGGUCUGGGGUAGGGCUCGAUAAUUUGUUCUUCUAACCACCUAAUGCUGUUGGUCCAGUGACCACACUUUGAGAAAUGCUGUACUAUGUUUUCUCAUAUAUUUAAAAAUUCUCACCUCAUUUAUGGUUUAAAACUUCUAGAACAAUUCUGAAUAGUUUUUGUAAUAGUGAGCCUCACUUUCCUGUCUCUGCCCUUAAUGGGAAUGUCUCUAAUGAUUCACCUUUCAUACGGGGACUUGUUGUGGUUUACUGGGCAAUUCCUUUUGGCAGGUUAAAAAAAUUCCCUCUGUUUCAAGCUAAAGCCAUUUACCAGGAAGAGACGCUAAGUUUUAUCAGAGGGUUUUUCCAGUAACUAUUGUGAUAAUCAUGGUUUUUUUUCCUAUUUAUUACGAUAUCAAACAUGAAACUUAUUUGAAGUCCUGGAUUAAACGGUGCUUGUUUUCUAUAAUGUUUUGUUCCUUAAAUGUACUGACAAAUUUAAUUUAUUAUUUUUUUAGGAUUUGAGGUACAAGUUCAUACGUGAUAAUGACUUACUGUUUUGUUUUCAUUAUUUCCUCCUUCCAUCCUUUCUUGAUAUCCUUUUUAUCUCUUGGUUUCAAAAUUACACUAGCGUCAUAGAAUGAGUUGGAAAUUAGCCCAUUAUUCUCCAUGCCAUGGAGUGUUUUGCAAAACAUAAGAAUGAUCAGUUCCUUACAUAUUUGGUAGAAUUUACCUUAUAAAACACAGUAGGUUUUGUGUCUCUUCUGGAGUCCAGAUACUGCUAUGGACUGAAUGUUUGUACCCUCUAAGAUUCAUUAGGUUGAAAUCCUAGCCUCAAAGUGGUGGUAUUAGGAGGUGGGACUUUUGGGAGGUGAUCAGGCCAAGAGGGUGGAGCCCUCAUGAAUGGGAUUAGUGCCCUUAUCAAAUAAGGCAAAAGGAGCUCUUUAACCUCUCCCACCAUGUGAGGACAAAGUGAAAAGACACCAUCUAUGAACCAGGAAGCAGGGCCUCACCGGAUGCCAAACCUGCCAGCACCUGGCCCUUGGACUUCCAGCCACCAGAACUGUGAAGAAGAAAUUUCUAUUGCUUAUAAAUACCCAGUUUACGGCAUUCUGUUAUAGAAGUGCCUAAUAGGCUAAGGCAAAUACUAUAUGGUAUUUAGGAUUGCUUCUGUAUAUUUUUAAGACUUUUUUAUUUUGGAAUAAUAAUAAUUCACAGAAAAUUUACAGAGAAAGUCUCCACAUGCCCCUCACCCCACUUCCCCUAAUGUUAACAUAACCGUGGUCCAUUUGUCAAAACUAAGAAAUGAGGAUUGGUACCAUACUAUUGACUGAAUUACAGACAUUACUUGGAUUUUGUCAAUUGUUUUACUAAUAUUCUAUUAUUUCUGUGUCAGAUUCCAAUCUGGAUAACAUGUUGCAUUUGUUCAUCACGUCUCCUUUGUUUUUCCUGGGCUGUGACAGUUUCUUAUUCUUUUCUUGUAUUGCCUGGCUUUGAAUUUUGAGGAAUUCUGGUUAAGUAUUUUGUAAACUGUCACUAAAUUUUGCUUGUCAGAUGUUUUCUCCUGGGUUAGACUGGGCUUACAGGUUUUGGGGAAGAACUCUACAAAAGGGAAAUGUCUUUCUCAUCUCAUCUAAUAAAUGGAUAUAGGAUAUCAA